ensembl:snoRNA
AGCAGCUGUGUCAAGUUCAGGGCUUGUCCAGCUUACGGCAGGCACUGGCCCAAAAGGCUGCCACAGUAAUACUGUGGCUCAUGGGCCUGACCCCUCUCCUGGGCCUCAGGGAUAAAUUUGGUUUCAGAUACUA